rnacentral:rRNA from 1 species
CAAUAGCGUAUAUUUAAGUUGUUGCAGUUAAAAAGCUCGUAGUUGGAUUUCGGGUGGGACGCAGCGGUCUCGCAUUGCGUUUGUACUGCUGCAGCCCUCCUUCUUGCCGGGGGCGGCCUCUCGGACUUCACUGUCUGGGGGUCAGAAUCGGCGAUGUUACUCUGAGUAAAUUAGAGUGUUCAAAGCAAGCUUACGCUCUGAAUAUAAUAGCAUGGGAUAACACGACAGGACUCUGGCCUAUCGUGUUGGUCUAUAGGACCAGAGUAAUGAUUAAGAGGGACAGUCGGGGGCAUUCGUAUUCCGUUGUCAGAGGUGAAAUUCUUGGAUUUACGGAAGACGAACAUCUGCGAAAGCAUUUGCCAAGGAUGUUUUCAUUGA